UUACGGGAGGCAGCAGUGGGGAAUCUUAGACAAUGGGCGCAAGCCUGAUCUAGCCAUGCCGCGUGAGCGAUGAAGGCCUUAGGGUUGUAAAGCUCUUUCGUGGGGGAAGAUAAUGACUGUACCCCAAGAAGAAGCCCCGGCUAACUCCGUGCCAGCAGCCGCGGUAAUACGGAGGGGGCUAGCGUUGUUCGGAAUUACUGGGCGUAAAGCGCACGUAGGCGGACUGGAAAGUCAGAGGUGAAAUCCCAGGGCUCAACCUUGGAACUGCCUUUGAAACUCCCAGUCUUGAGGUCGAGAGAGGUGAGUGGAAUUCCGAGUGUAGAGGUGAAAUUCGUAGAUAUUCGGAGGAACACCAGUGGCGAAGGCGGCUCACUGGCUCGAUACUGACGCUGAGGUGCGAAAGCGUGGGGAGCAAACAGGAUUAGAUACCCCGGUAGC
rnacentral:rRNA from 1 species